GUACAGCCCAGAGAGGUAUCAGCUCGUAGCCCCUCGAGUCCUGCCACGGACUCCGCAGAGGUGGACGCGCCGCGGAGUUGGGGGACGGCUCCCCCAAGCAGCCCGCUCUUCACCGCGCGGAAGCAAACUUAGCGGCGCGGCCAGCCCCACAGCCAUUUUCCCGGGAACCCGAGGAAGCGGACGAGGAGGCGGCUGCAACUGCGGCGGCGGUUCCUGCAGUUGCUGCCGCUGGUCAAUGGCUGGCCCCUUCCCUUGCGCUCGCCGUGCCACUUGCCUAGCAUCCCUCUCCCCACCUCCAAAGCUUCCAACUGCACCGGGACCUCGGGCAGCAGCAGCUGCUGCUACUGCCACUUCGUCCAUUCAGUAUCCCCGGAUUCCCCUCUCCCCACCUACCAACUGCGGGUGAAGUGCGCGCUGUCAGCUCCAGAGUCCUCCUCCCCUCUGACCUCCGUGGGCCCCCGUCCGGGCAGCACCACUCCCAGCCGCGGCUGCAGUUCCUGCGCCGGGUUCCCCACUCGCCCCGAUUUACUGCCACAAUCCACCAAAUAACAAGCUGUUGAGCAGACUCGCUUCUACACGAACUCCUAUUGGCUGCUCAUGACGCCGAAGAGCUUCGGAUAGGACCUCGCUACCUGCCGUCCUCAUUGGAUGUAGCUGUGAAACUUCAUGGAUUGGUGAGAAAAACAGCAGGUAGGACAUCUUCCACUUAUGAUUGGCUUUUUCCGAAAACCAACUUUAUUGGAGAGUUGGUUAUUGAGUAAGCAAGUCCUGAGAAAUGAUUGGUAGAGACGACUCCGGAUGUGCUUGACUGGGCACUGAUUGGUGAAUUGAGGGGUCAGGAAGAGCAGUUCGACACGAGGAUUGGCGGCGGAGUGUCCCAUGGAAACGGAACCCAGAAUUGCAGCCAGGGGCUUGCACGGGGGCGGGGCAGGGUCUGUCCAAGGCGCUUGCGCUAAACCAGCUUGUCGGCGCCAUUUUGUCUCGGCAGCGGUGGCCGUAGCUCCAUCGCAUUUUAUGUUUCUGGCGAGAAGGGAACGGAGUUUUCAUCAGGUAGAUUGGUUUUUGUGCGGCCGUCCUCCACCGUUUCCUCCAGGACAGCACCUAGUCGUGGCCGGAGGAGUCUCAGAGCUGUCAGAAAGGUGAGCAUUUGUACAGUGAAACAUUUUGCUACACAAAAGUGAUGUUUAGGAAUACUAACAAAUUAUUUUCAAGAAUAAGACUGAUUUUAUGGGAAAAUUAAGCAGAUGCUCCAGUUUGAGAAACCUGGAUCUGCGAUCUGUUUGUGGUACCAGCAUCAAGAUGAUUUAUGGUAAUAAGAUAUAAAACCAAGGAAAAUAACCUAAAGUCUGAAAAAGACCAGAAUCGAAGUUUCCUGAUUCAUAUUUUAAUGUUUUGAAAUUUAUACUCCAGGCUGGGUGCAGUGGCUUGUGCCUGUAAUCCCAGCACUUUGGGAGGCCGAGGCGGCCGGAUUGCCUGAAGUCAGAAGUUCGAGACCAGCCUGACCAACAUGGUGAAACCCUGUCUCUACUUAAAAAUACAAAAGAGCUGGGCAUGGAGGUGGUGCGCGCCUGUAACCCUAGCUACUCGGGAGGCUGAGGCCUAAGAAUCUCUUGAACCCAGGAGGCAGAGGUUGUAGUGAGCCGGGAUCACGCCACUGCACUCUAGCCUGGGCGACAGAGAGAGAGACUGUCUAAAAAAGGAAAAGAAAAAAAUUUAUACGCCAAAAAAGAUAUUCUGAGAUAACCUGUAGUUACCACUAACUUUGUGACAAAAUUAUAAAAAUCCACAGCCAUCUAUGAAUCUGUAGGCAGACCUGAAGUUUGAACGACUGGUGAAGACAUCUGAUUUUCUUUAUAGCCAAGUUAGGAUAACAAAAUGCAAACAAGUCAUUAAUAUUUACUAUAUGCAAGAUACAGAAAGAUGAAGGAAGGAGUAAGAAGUUAUCCUUCGUGGAACUAUUCAAAGCAAAAAUGCAAAAUACCAGGGAAAGCUUUGAAGAACCAAGAUUUGAGCAGGUUCUUAGAAUAUAGAUUGGAUUGGAUUUGAUUUCAAGAAAGAUGAACGUGUAAAGCAGAAGUGGGAAGCCAAAAACUUUUUUCCAAAUUAGAAUUAAGCAUUCUUUCAAUGAACAUUUGGAAAUCAAGGUAGAAAAAUAUCCCUAGGGCCUAGCUGAGGAGUCUGUAUGUUGUUGGGUUUUGAUAGUAACCAGUCCAAGAUUUUGUUAUUAGACGUGGGUUUCUGAAUAGACAGGCAUUUCUGAACAGACAUGACAGGAUCAAAACAAUGUUUGAGCAAACUGCCCUUCAUCUACUGUGGAUAUGUUGGGGGAUGAUGGAAUAUAGUGAAAGAUAAUGGGUGCUCAUACAGCAGUCUAGACUUAAGGUGAUUCAACUACUAUAUAUUAAACUAGAUUAUCUUUUAUUUUUUAAUUUUGAAAUCUGGAUGCUCAAGCUCUGCCUGCACAACCACAUGAGGAAGAAGGAACAAUGACAACAAAAAUAACACUAAAUUUAAAUUUAAGAGUACUACUUUUAGGAAAUAGACAAACCAUUAUUUGGGUACAACUAAAGGCAACUGGCAUGGACUCAAAUAUUUUGGGGAAGAAAAAGACUAAAAGUUCUAAGGAAGAAAAUGCGAACCUUGAUAGUUUGAAAUAGUUAAAAAGACAGUGUAGAAACUGCUUAGGCAGUUUGAUUAUGGACUAUUAGAUGAUACUUGGGUCUGAUAAUGGUAUAAGGAGAAUAAAGUAUUUAGGGAUCCAAUAUUACGCCUGCAGCUUUUUCCAAAUAGUUCAUGGGGGAGGGGGAUGUGUAAGUGGUUAACUGAAGUCUAACUAGAUAGGUUUGUUGUAAGCUUAGGAUGUUUACAGUUCUUCAUGUUAAGUUGAGCGUGAUGGGAAGGGAAAGAAUGCUGAUCUUUAAAUUUUUGUCCUUAGUUAAGUUCUGUAUUUAGUGAAUUAAUUGCAUCCUAAAAAGUCAAACUUGAAAAGCACAUUUUAAAUGGCAAAUCUAUUUUUUACAUGUUUGUGAAGUUUUUAUUUUUUAGUAAACAGACCAUCAGAAGAGAACAAUGGUACAGAGCAGGGGUCAGCAGAUGGAUUUUGUAAAGCAUCAACUUGUAAAUAUUUUCAAGUUUAUUAGCUGUAUGGCUCUGGUUUCUGUUCCCUGUUCCAAAUGUUAAAGUCUACUGUUGUAUUCUAAAAGCAGCCAUGGACUGAAUGUAGCUGUGUUCCAAUAAAACUUACACAAAAGCAGGCAGUGGGCCAUAAUUUGCAACACCUGAUUCACAGCAUAAUUUUGUCACAAACUGAAAGUGUUCCUCAAUUAAAGUGAUUUUUUUUUCUUGAUUUUUCUCUGGGAUUUAUUGUUUUUCCCAUUCCUUGCUAGGAUUUAACUACAGAAAGACAGAUAGUAACUGCUCUAAAUAUUCUAAUUUCCUUUAUUUUUUUGAGAUAAGGUGUCGCUCUGUUGCCCUGGCUGGAGUGCAGUGGCGUGAUCAUAGCUCACUGUAGCCCCCAACUCCUGGCUGGGGCUCAAACAGUCCUCCUGCCUCAGCCUCCCAAGUAGCUGGGACUACAGGCACGCACCACCUCACCUCGCUAACAUUUUGUUUUGGGAGAUAGGGUCUUACUCUUUUGCCCAGCCUGGUCUUGGAACUACUGGGCUCAAGCAGUCCUCCCAACUUGGCCUACCAAACUGGUAGGAUUACAGGGGUAAUCCCCCUCAACUGACAUAAAUAUUCUAAUUUUCAAAUUUCCAUAUAAUAGUAUGGAGAGAUGAAAACAAAAGGAAAAGAGUAGAAGAUAGGAACCUAGCAUCAUACUAGUAAGUGUGCAAUGGAAAAGAACAUAGGUCUAAGACUCAUAAGGUCUGGAUACUGUUCAGAACCAGCUGAUUCUGUGGUCCUAUGCAGUGUGUUUAAUCUGCAGUUGAGCUUGGGCUAAAUGACCUCUAAGAUCCUUUUGUCAGCUUUACUAAAAUACGAAACAAAUUAGGUUUUAUAGGGGGUUCUAGAACUUAGCAUUGUAUAAAUGCCAAGCACUAAUAAGUAUUUUCUAGAAGCUGGUCUUAAAUAAGUUGAAUGAGUAAUUAGUUGAGCAGGGUUCUAGUACAGCAUUAACAUUAAAUGUAUGUGAAAUUGUAUCUCACUUCAGUUUACCAAAACACUGAUAAAUGGUAUGCCUGCUUUUUAGGCAAGUUUCUGACAGGUAAUCAAUAAUAUUGAAACAGUAUCCAUGAAGUCUUUAAGUUGAUCAACGCAUGGCUAAAAGGAAAACCAAGUUUUUAAGAAAACUUUUUCACACUAAUAGCUGAAUUUUGUGAAAGAAAAAGUGGGUAGUCGUAAGAGUGUAGGCUUUAUGCCUUACCUGGCUAGGAGCAAAGCUAAGAGAACCGGUGGAGCACAGCCAGACAUAAAAGCUGUGUUCCAAAGAAAGAAUAUAGGAAAAAUAUAACUUUUUAUUAACUCAAAAUUUUAAACAAAAUUUUCAAACUAGAGCUCACAGAGAUUCAUAAAUAGGUUUCAAGGAUUUUGUGAAAUCAUAUCAAAAGUUGUGUUUUUCUAGAUUGAGGCUUUAUAGCAGUUAUUCAGAAUCUAUAAAGGGAUGUAUAACACAACUCUACAGAUAAUAUGUUACCAGCUUUCCCAUUCAGUGACUUAGCAGCUUCAUAAACUCUCAACAUCAAACCACACUAUAUCCUUACACCGAGCUUCCCCAGCCACAGGCCACAUGGGGCCAAACACAAAUUCGUAAACUUUCUUAACACAUGAUGAGAUUUUUUUUUAAGCUCAUCAGCUAUCAUUAGUGUUGGUGUAUUUUAUGUGUGGCCCAGGGAAGCCAAAUGAUUGGACAUCCCUGCCUUAGACUGAAAUGUCUGUGGUGAUAAAAUUUCACUGCAUUAGGAUGACGACAUAGUAAAAAUUCAAGCAUUAAUUAUUACCUGAAGCUUCUCUAUUUCCGUCUUUGCAGCUUGCCUGGCUUUGCCGAUGGCACAGCCCCAAUAACCCUAUUUAGAAAAAAAUAUAUAUAAUCACUGAAUUAGUACACUAUCAUAUGUAAUUAAUGACUACUAAUGUUUCUAUAACCUAGUGAAAGGAUGCUAAAUGACUUUUAAAAGCAAGUAUAGAAAAAUAUAGUCAAACACAUUCUGAUGAAUGCCAAAGGGCUCAAAAAUACUAAAAUACCAAACAAUUCCAAAACAACCUGUAUUUUUAAUAAAGGUAUAUCCAAAAAUAUGUAAAUUAUGUAAUCAUAUACACUUUAAGACAUUUUGGGGAACAGGAACGGAAAAGAUUUUAGCACUAUGACAAUGAAAAAUGAAAUUAUAUAUUCCUGAGAGACAGAAAUAAAGUUAAUUCCUAUGAGUUCAGUACUCUAAACCCCCAAUUUUAUUAUUUUGUAAAUUUUUUUAAAGAUAAGGAUGCACAGCUGGGUGUGGUGGGUCAUGCCUGUAAUCCCAGCACUAUGGAAGGCCAAGGUGGGCAGAUCACCUCAGGUCAGGAGUUGGAGACCGGCCUGGCCAACAUUGUAAAACCCUGUCUCUACUAAAAAUACAAAAAAAUUAGCUAGGUGUGGUGGCAGGUGCCUGUAAUGCCAGCUACUCCAGAGGCUGAGGCAGGAGAAUCGCUUGAAUCUGGGAGGCAGAGGUUGCAGUGAGCUGAGACCGCGCCACUGCACUCCAGCCUGGGCAACAGAGUGAGACUCCAUCAAAAAAAAAAAAAAAAAGGAUGUACACAUAUAUACUUCUGUUACAGCAAAAUAUAUUUAAGAAUCUUCAUUUUCUUCAAUUAGUAAAAACGACAAAAAUGUAAGGAUAAGAAAACAGUUAAGAAACGGUAACAGGCCGGGUGCAGUGGCUCACACAAAGUGCUUGUAAUCCCAGCACUUUGGGAAUCUGAGGCACGUGGAUCACUUGAGGCCAGGAGUUCCAGACCAGCCUGGGCAACAUGGUGAAAGUCUGUCUCUACUAAAAAUACAAAAAUUAGCCAGGUGUGAUGGUACAGGCCUGUAAUCCCAGCUACUUGAGAGGCUGAGGCACAAGAAUCCCUUGAAUCCGGGAGGCAGAGGUUACAGUGAGCCAAGAUUGCACCACUGCAGUCCAGCCUGGGCAACUGAGCAAGACUCUGUCUCAAAAAAAAAAAAAAAUGGUAAUAAUUUAGGGAAAGCUCUUAGAAAUCACAUUUAAACCUUCUCUUUAAAAGGGAAGGCAGGGCAAGGUGGCUCACACCUAUAAUCCCAGCAUUUUGGGAGACCAAGGUGGGCGGAUUACUUGAGAUCAGGAGUUCGAGACCAGCCUGGCUAACAUGGUGAAACCUCGUCUCUACUGAAAAUACAAAAAUUAGCCGGGUGUGGUGAUGCAUGCUUCUAAUCCCAGCCUACUCGGGAGGCUGAGGCAGAAUUGCUUGAACUGGGGAGGUGGAGGUUUGGCGCCACUGCACUCCAGUCUGGGUGACAGAGCGAGACGCUGUCUGAAACAAAAUUAGGUCCGGCACUGUGGCUCACGCCUGUAAUCCUUGCACUUUGGCAGGCCGGGGUGGGCAGACCACCUGAGGUCAGGAGUUGGAGACCAGCUGGCCAACAUGGCAAAACCCCAUCUGUACUAAAAAUACAAAAAUUAACCAGGCAUGGUAGUACAUGCCUGUAAUCCCAGCUAAUCAGGAGGCUGAGACAGGAGAAUUGCUUGAACCUAGGAGGCGGAAGAGGUUGCAGUGAACCAAGAUCGAGCCACUGCACUCCAGCCUGGGAGACAGAGUGACACUCCAUCUUAUAAAUAAAUAAAAUAAAAGGGAUGACAUGGCUGGACAUCGAUGCUCACGCCUGUAGUCCCAGCAUUUUGGGAGUCCAAGGCAGGAGGACUGCUUAAGGCCAGGAGUUUGAGACCAGCCCUGGGAACGUGGAAAGACCUUGUCUCUAUAGACACCAAAAAAAUACAAAAAUUAGCUAGGCAUGGUGGCAUGAGCCUGUAGUCCCAGCUACUUGGGAGGCUUAGGUAGGAGGAUCGCCUGAGCCCAGGAGUUGAGAGGCUGAAGUGAGCUAUGAUUGUGUCACUGCACUCCAGCCUGGGCAAGAAUGAGGAAAAAAGACAUUAAAUACAGUUUUAAGACAGUGUUUAUAGUAAUAAAGGAAAAUCACAUAUUCAAAAUACUAUAUGCACUAUACAGUUUCUAUAAAUAACAUACUGAAAAAAAAUCUUUCCUCUGCCUCGUAUCAGUUAUUAAUGAUAAGAAAACAUGGCUGGGCCUGGUGGCUCACACCUGUAAUACUCGCACUUUGGGAGACCCAGGUGGGUAGAUCUCUUGAGGACUGGAAUUCAAGACCAGUCUGGCCAACAUGGCAAAGGCCUGUUUCUACUAAAAAUAAAAAAAAUUAGCCAGGUGGUGCACACCUGUAAUCCCAGCUACCCGGGAGGCUGAGGCAGAAGAACUGUUUGAACCUGGGAGGCAGAGGUUGCAGUGAGCUGUGAUCACACCACUGUGCUCCAGCCUGGGCCACAGUGAGACCCUGUUCCCCCAAAAAGGAAAAAAAAAAAAAUUCUGUUGGACAAGAGGUUGUUGUAAAAAAAAAAAAAAGAAAAAUUACUUUCCUUGAAUGAGUUUUUUUUUAAUUUCAUAUAAUCUUAUAAUGAGACUUAAAUGCUAAUGAAAUACCAUUAAACUAAAAUAGAAUUUCAAAUGAUUCAAAAUUACUCACGUAUGAAACACCUGAUGGGUCAAUCAUGUAGAGUUGCGCACCGUCAUUCACACUGUAAGACCCUAACAUGAAACUGCAUGAAAGUAUACAAACAGCUUAAACCAUGGCAAUAACAUAAAAGUAUUUGUGAAAAAAUUAUUUUAAAAUGCAGUUAUAUUUUCUUUCUGAGAUAAAUUACUAAUACACAUAUAACUCAGUAAGUACUUUGAAACAGUGGUUUCAAUUAAUUAAAACUAUUACAUGAGAUUAUUCAAAAUUCAUGUAGCUUUUGUUUGUUUAGUAUUAAUCUUUCUGAUGAAGGUCUCCUGGAAAGUCUAGCAGUACAGGGAAAGGAGUAACGAUAGAUGAAAACCACAACUAUGAGAGGGCCCAAUAAAUAAGGCAUAAACACAAAAAGAUCAAGGGAACAAAAUUCCUGACGGAGAGUAUACUGAAUCCAUGUGAAAUUCUUUCCACCCUUCAUUCUAUUUCCCAAUAUCCUGCCAAUCAUUUCUCUGCAAUAAUCAGAAUUGGUUCAGUGUAUUUUUCUGUGCUCAACAAAUUAGGCUAUUAGCUGAUUGUAUGAAAUACUGAUUUUCUGAAAUUGUGACAUACAGUGGGCACUGUUUCCAUGAGUUCUGCAUCUGUGGAUUCAACAAACCACAGAUAGAAAACUUUCAAAAAACAUUGCUUCUGUACUGAACAACUGUGAUUUUCUUGUCAUUAUUCCCUAAACAAUACAGUGUAACAGCUAUUUACACUGUGUUAGGUAUUGCAAGUAAUCUAGAGAUGACAACAUACAGGAGGAUAUGCACAGGUUAUAUGCAAAUACUUAACCAUUUUAUAUCAGGGACUUCAGCAACCUUGGAUUUUGGUAUUCAUGGGAGGUCCUAAAACCAAUCCCCCACAAAUACCAAGGGACAACUAUAUUUGCCUUAGAGUAGAAAAGAAAUCAGCAGCAUCUUACACAUCAUCUUAUAUGCGGAAUAUUUUAACUAUUCAAUUCCCAUCCCUACCGUCAUUUCCUUCCAUUUUCUACCGAUAUGAGACUUAUCCUUCAGGAUAUAUAGCUCAUUGUCACUAUUUUAAAGCCUUUCAACAUUUCUUUGAAGAAAAUCAGCAUGGAGCACAGACUUUUAUAUGACUGGACCCCUUCCUACAUCAGUAUCAUCUCUAAACCUCAUACUCUACACACCAAGCAUACUUAACUCUCUCUGGCGCACGUAUUUUCAUACCAGUUCCUGUGCUUGCAACUACCAAGUCUCCCUACAUCUCACACUCUUCCUUGCCUCCUGUCCAGAAAGAGUCCGUUCCCUAAUUGUUGUCCCUUUAUCAUAUCACUAAUAUUUUAUCAAUGUGACUUCACACCUGUGUCUCCACAUUUAUGACUAACUCAGUGCCCAAUAGAUGUUUACUAAAAAAGUUCUCUCUGGCCCAGUGCGGUGGCUCACGCCUGUAAUCCCAGCACUUUGGGAGGCUGAGGUGGAUCACUUGAGGUCAGGAGUUUGAGACCAGCCUGGCCAACAUGGCGAAACCCUGACUGUACUAAAAAUAAAAAAAUUAGCCGGGCGUGGUGGCAGGUGCUUGUAAUCCCUGCUACUCAGGAGGUUGAGGCAGGAGAAUAGCUUGAACCCGGGAGGCAGAGGUUGCAGUGACCUGAGAUCGUGCCACUGCAUUCCAGCCUGGGCGACAGAGCGAGACUCCAUCUCAAAACAAAACAAAACAAACAAAAAAAAAGUUAUGAAAAAAAGUUAUCUCUACUAUUCUUACUCCCUUAAAAAGAGUAGAGAAGUUAACUGAUGAACUCAGAGCUCAGUUGAAAGGUAUUUUACAUGGUCUGAAAACAAAGUGUUUCAUAAUGUAAUUUAACUGAGAAGCUUAAGAAUGACUAAUGUCAGCCUGGGCAGCAUGGUGAGACCCCGUCUCUACAAAAAAAAAUUUUGUUAAUUAGCCAGGCAUGGUGGCCCAUGCCUGUGGUCCCAGCUACUUGGGAGGCUGAGGUAGGAGCAUCGCUUGAGCCAGGUCAAAGCUGCAGUCAGCCAUGAUGGCACCACUGCACUCCAGCUCAGGUGACAGUAACUGUCUCAAAAAGUAAAAACAAAACCCUAAUGUAAUAUUACCAAUAGAAUAAAACUCAAGUUUUCUUUAAUAUCUUAGUAAUUAAAUAUGACUGAUGAUAAACAACUCAAAGGUAGGACUACAGCUGAGCACUCAGAUGUUAGUAUAUGUAUUAUUUUGACCAAACAUGUUUGACUGUUUUAAGUCAUAAGCCAAACAUGUCUUUUCAUUUUAGAAAAAUCUAGUCACAAGUCUUCUCUGUGAAGCCAAAUUUGAAUAUUUAUACCUAUUCCAGGUCUUUAUGCAGCUGAAUCUCCACUUUACCCCACAAUAAAAUAUCAGCACUUCAACAGAAAGAGAAACCGUGCCUAAUGGGAAUUGUGAGACGUAAUUUUUAAAAUUACCUAAGAAUAUCAGGGACUAACACCGAGAGCUUAUUAUAAUCAGAUUAAAGUCAUUGUUAUCAGUUCCUUGUUUUAUAAUCACUUCAGAUCUAUAUAGUCCUUUUCACUAUUGAAACCUUUUUUUUUUUUUUUUUUUUUUUUUUAAAGAGGCAGAGUCUCUAUUGCGCCAGCUAGAGUACAGUGGUAUGGCCACAGCUCAUUCCAGCCUUCAACUCCUGGGCUCAAAUGAUCCUCUCAAGCAGCUCCUAAGUAGCUGUGACUACAGGCAUGUGAUACUGCACCUGGCUAAAUUUUAAAUUUUUUUUGUAGAGAUAGGUUCUCACUGCGUUGGCCAGGCUGGUCUCAUACUCCUGGGCGCGAGGGAUCCUCCCACCUCAACCUCCCAAAGUACUGGGAUUACAGGCUUGAGCCAUGGCACCCAGCCUCAAGUAGUUUCUAUGUACACUGUUUUAUUUAAUCAUUGCCCUAAUACUUAUCGACGAGUUUCUAUUUUUAAGUAUGUAAAAGGCUAAGAUGCUGGGGAACAUAAUAAAUAUCUAUAGUACAGAUCUGCCUUUUGAAUAAUUCACAAAAUUUCUUACCUGCAGCCAAAAGGUCUAACAGCACUGUAGAGUGUAUAUGCAUGCACAUACAUGGCCACUCUGUCUGCAAGAUGCUAUGGAGGGAAGCAGAAGAGCUUAUUAAUAAACUUCUAUUACUGUCCAAAAGGUUCCUCAAUAUGUUAUCAACUUACUUUUAGUGGAAUGUUGUAGCCAAAGUUAGAUCUGAAGUUGGAAGCUUCUUCUCUUGCUAUGUCUGCUAAAGAACGAGCAUCUGCCAACAAACCUGCUACUGCCUGAAAAAAAAGCACCAAUUUACUAGAGGAACACAUUCCUAUCACAAAUCAAAGUCUGCAAUUAAUAAAGACUUAUUAAACAUUUUUUUAACAAGUAUUACCAUUCAAAAUAAACUUUUUUGGCUUAAAGGUCUCUCUACAAGGCAUUUUGAUGCUUGAGUAUGAAAUUAUAAUUUAGAAAUUUAGUAAGUAUAACUUCAUUGCUUUGUCCAAUGUUCAUAUUCAGGACAUUUCCUUUUUUUUUUUUGAUACGGGGUCUCGCUCUGUCACCAGGGCUGGAGUACAGUGGCAUGAUCUCCGCUCACUUCACACUCUGCCUCCUGGGUUCAUGCCAUUCUCCUGCCUCAGCCUCCUGAGUAGCUGGGACUACAGGCGCCUGCCACCACGCCCGGCUAAUUUUUUUGUAUUUUUAGUAGAGAUGGGGUUUCACCAUGUCAGCCAGGACGGUCUUGAUCUCCUGACCUCGUGAUCUGCCUGCCUCAGCCUCCUAAAGUGCUGGGAUUACAGGCGUGAGCCACCGUGCCCGGCCAAUAUUCAGGACUACUUCUAUCAUAAAUCCUCUUCCCCUGAUUUACUACCACUACCUCAUUAUAACGAAUAAAAACCAUGGGUCUUGGUCAGAUUUUUUUUUUUUUUUUUUUUUGAGACAGAGUCUCACUGUGUCACCUAGGCUGGAGCACAAUGGCACCAUCUGGGCUCACUUCAACCUUUGCCUCUCAGGUUCAAGGGAUUCUCCUGCCUCAGCCUCCCCAGUAGCUGGGAUUGGCUAAUUUUUAUAUUUUUAGUAGAGACAGGGUUUGGUUUUGUCAUGUUGGCCAGGCUGGUCUUGA
rnacentral:lncRNA from 1 species